rnacentral:misc_RNA from 1 species
AUGAAGCAUUAGGGAGGCUGUAGCUGCCUUGAAAGAGGAUGUGCACGCCUUUCAAUCUUCUGUUCAACCACCUGUGCACUCUUGGUAGGAGACUGUGAAGGGGAUAGAGAGCUUGCUUUCUAUUCCUUUCGGUCUCUUGCUUUUUACACACCCUUUAAAAGUUUUAGAAUGUUGACUUACGGAUUGUAAUGAUCUGUAAUAAUUAAAUA